CGGGAUGUAGCUCAGCCUGGUAGAGUGCUGCGUUCGGGACGCAGAGGUCGCAAGUUCAAAUCUUGUCAUCCCGAC
rnacentral:tRNA from 1 species